UACGUAGGGGGCAAGCGUUGUCCGGAAUCAUUGGGCGUAAAGAGCGUGUAGGCGGCCAGAUAAGUCCGCUGUGAAAACUCGAGGCUCAACUUCGAGCUGUCGGUGGAAACUAUUUGGCUAGAGUCCGGAAGAGGGAGAGUGAAUUCCUGGUGUAGCGGUGAAAUGCGCAGAUAUCAGGAAGAACACCCGUGGCGAAGGCGGCUCUCUGGUACGGAACUGACGCUGAGACGCGAAAGCGUGGGGAGCGAACAGG
rnacentral:rRNA from 1 species